GAUGAACGCUGGCGGCGUGCCUAAUACAUGCAAGUCGAGCGAACGGACGAGAAGCUUGCUUUUCUGAUGUUAGCGGCGGACGGGUGAGUAACACGUGGAAACCUACCUAUAAGACUGGGAUAACUUCGGGAAACCGGAGCUAAUACCGGAUAAUAUUUUGAACCGCAUGGUUCAAAAGUGAAAGACGGUCUUGCUGUCACUUAUAGAUGGAUCCGCGCUGCAUUAGCUAGUUGGUAAGGUAACGGCUUACCAAGGCAACGAUGCAUAGCCGACCUGAGAGGGUGAUCGGCCACACUGGAACUGAGACACGGUCCAGACUCCUACGGGAGGCAGCAGUAGGGAAUCUUCCGCAAUGGGCGAAAGCCUGACGGAGCAACGCCGCGUGAGUGAUGAAGGUCUUCGGAUCGUAAAACUCUGUUAUUAGGGAAGAACAUAUGUGUAAGUAACUGUGCACAUCUUGACGGUACCUAAUCAGAAAGCCACGGCUAACUACGUG
rnacentral:rRNA from 1 species